rnacentral:tRNA from 1 species
GCGGAUGUAGCUCAGUUGGUUAGAGCACCGGUUUGUGGUACCGGGUGUCGUCGGUUCGAAUCCGAUCAUCCGCCCCA